UGCUGUCCUCUUGUCCUGCAGAGGAGGUGGCGGAAGCUUGGACAGGUGAAGCCAGUUGCCAAAGGCCACGCGACAGGGCACGUGGUGGAGUCAGAUUUUGAACAUCAGUGUGAUUCUAAAGCCCAAGUUUGUACCAACUAGGUGAUUCGUCUCGCAGUGUGCGGGAGAGCACACCAACUGCACAUACCUGCAACCUGGAAAGGGACAGAGAAGGGAGAAACCAGAGGAAACUGUAGUCAUGGCCUGAGGCUGUUGGAGGAUCACGUGGAGAGGUUUGUGGGUAAUCGCAGGGCUGAAAAGUCCUCAUUUACUCUCAGAGUCCAUUGCUUUUGUAGGAGUUGGCUUCCUAUGGAGUGCCUGAGCUGUCCAGAGGCAGGAAGCAGCUCCACCUGUUGGUGAAAGAGGGUGACGGUCGUCCGACCCAAGAGGACCCAUGGAUCCAUGAAAUGAAGGUUUCAAGGUUCUGAAAACCAAACUGGUUCUAACAGAGUGGGGUAGAAAGUGUGGACUGCGCAACUCCUGAAAAUCUUCCACUGACAGUUCGUGAACUUGCAAGAAUGGUGUUGAGAUGUGGAGGAGAAAAGGGAUCCAACAUUUCUUCCGGGGAUUAAAAGUGAGUCCAGAAUUGCAAGGACUCGGGAGAAAAAGGCUCUUGUUGAGCAACCCUUUGAAUAACCGAGCCCCUUUCUCUCCGAGCGCUAAGUGUUGAGAUGCAGCGUCCUUACUGCCUAGAAACCCAACAAAGACUGGCUUGGUGGUUGCUUUGAGGUUUCUGUUCUAUGUAGAAUUUUAACCAUGAAAAGACACAAAGAUUGGUUUCUUCUGAGUCCUUAACUGAACACCACAAAGAAGGACAAUUAGCGGGGAGCUGGGCUGCUGUCUCCCACCAGCUAUGCUGCUGCCGUCCGGAACCCCUCCAGGAGCCACGUGAAGUAUGCCACCCAGCCCCUCUCUGCCUCUAGUGUUUGGAAAUGUGCCACAGACUCAACCGUCCAGGUAUGGAGAUUGCUGGGCUCCAGAAAGGCCAUGUGCUGUGCUGUCGAGAGAAUGGGUCUUUAUCUGUAGCCUUGUUGUGUCACUUGCUGCAAGUCCUAAUCUGUAAAAUGGGAUAAUCCUGGAUUGAAGGCCUGCUCUGAGAAUGAGGCGCUAUGGCACACCUGUCCUUCUCCCUGACUUUUAGAGACCUCCAGACCAUUCCCAGCUCCUUAUCGUCUGCUGUACCCAAGGAGGUCUCCAUGAUUUUUCCUAUUCGUCUUCUUGUUACACAUGUGGAUAAGAGGCCAUGCCUCUGACCAGGAACAAACGUCUGCAUCUCUCUGAACUCAGCUUUUGCAGAAAUGAAGGUGUAGUGAGCUCUCUCCCCAGGGAUUACUACGAGAGUUAAUGUAGACAGUGGAAACAAAGGACGUGGCUCAGUGCCUGACCUCUGGCAGAUGCUGAUAAAGGCCCUUUCCUUGGCCUCCACCUGGAACCUGAGAUGGAAAGGACAGAGUCCUUCCCACAGAGGCCGUGUGCUGACUAUACACAUAACUCAGGUGACUUUCUCGUUGCCUCACCUGGUUCAUGGAAAGUAGCAUAGUGAGCAUGUGUGUGGACUUUGUGUCAGGACUCCUGGAUUCAAGUCCUUUGUCACUUCCACCGAAAGGUAUAAAUUUCUCCAAACCUUGGAUUACACAUUUAUGGAAGGAUUUAUAAAGAAGUCCAUAACAUUUAAAUUGUUCCAGGGUGAAAUGAUGUAAAGGAUG